CACACACAUGUAUGAUUUAUGUAAUUAUUUUUCUGUUAUUUUCAGAUUUUACACCUCGUGACUUUGACCAGUCUGAACGAACUUCCACUGAAGACUUACCCUCGACCGACACCGAUUCCUUUGAUGAAGAAUUUCACAAACCAUCAGAGUUUGGUAAGUUAUUAAUGCAUUUUCUCAUUUUUUUUUACUAUAUAUUAUAAACUACCUACUCGAUUGUUUUGCAUUUUCUGAAUAUUUAAAUAUGGUAC
rnacentral:misc_RNA from 1 species